GUGGGGAAUAUUGGACAAUGGGCGCAAGCCUGAUCCAGCCAUGCCGCGUGUGUGAAGAAGGCCUUCGGGUUGUAAAGCACUUUUGUUGGGGAAGAAAACCUGUUGGUUAAUACCCGAUGGGAAUGACGGUACCCAAAGAAUAAGCACCGGCUAACUUCGUGCCAGCAGCCGCGGUAAUACGAAGGGUGCAAGCGUUACUCGGAAUUACUGGGCGUAAAGCGUGCGUAGGUGGUUCGUUAAGUCUGCCGUGAAAGCCCCGGGCUCAACCUGGGAAUUGCGGUGGAUACUGGCGGACUAGAGUGCGGUAGAGGGUGGUGGAAUUCCCGGUGUAGCAGUGAAAUGCGUAGAGAUCGGGAGGAACAUCUGUGGCGAAGGCGGCCACCUGGACCAGCACUGACACUGAGGCACGAAAGCGUGGGGAGCAAACAGGAUUAGAAACCCGAGUAGUCC
rnacentral:rRNA from 1 species